GGGGAGCUGCCGCUGGAGUUGAGCACGAGAACCUCCGGGAGUGACCAAGUGGUCUUAGGGGCAGUGGACUCUCAGAUGCCCUGACGGAGGCAGCAGGGGUGGUAGCAGUUGUUGGCACCGAGGUCCUGUGGUCCGGUGCACCCCUAGGAGCUGUGUGGGAACAGUCCCCAUCCCUGGUGAUGCUCAAACCCUUGCAGGGUGCGCGGCAGUCAGCCUGGAGCAGGAGUUCUGAGGGGGGACCCUCAGAGCUUGUGCUGGGGCUGUCUUUGGUGAAUGUUGGUCAUGUCGCUGAGUGGCCCUGUGUUGUUAAUUUUCAGUGAUCACAGGUGCUGGCAGCUCUUGCUUGUGACCUGGAACUAGACGCUCUCCCUUGCUGCACGGAGAUGCACAGGUGGGCCUGGUUCCGAAGGUACUACUUGGCCACCCGUGUCACUGUGGCCCUGGAUCGGAGAGCGCAUCUGCCCUGCCUGUUUCUCAACAAGGUGGCUAAGAAAAUUCCUGAGUUCAUGGCAGAUGGCGAAAACAUGGACGUCCUCCAUGAGAGGCUCGGCGUUUUUAAAAGAGCAAGAUGAGCAGCUUGUGCAGUGGACGAACAGGUGACCGGAUGAUGGGACUCUUUCUGCUGGAGGCAGUGGGACAAUUUAUGGUUGGGGCCGUAACCGUAGGGGUCAACGUGGGGGCAUCGAAGGCGCCAAAGUGAAAGCCUCCGCUCCGUGUGGAGCCCUUGCGGCUCUAAGCCCCGUGCAGCUCAUCGGGGAGAGCAGGCGCUCUUCGCAGGGGCAGCUGCCGGGAGGUAAGGCUGCGUGUUCUGGGCCCUCCUGACAGUGGACUGAGAGGCAGCCGUGGCCGGUGUGCGUCUGGUUCACAGGAUGUGCGCGUGUUCUGUGCUGAAACAUGGUCCCAAGAUGAACAGUACUCAGCGGUGUCCUGGAA